ACCUGGCUGGCUCAGUUGGUAGAGCAUGUGACUUUUGAUCUUGGGGUUGUGAGUUCAAGCCCCAUGUUGGGUG